GAUGGCGACCUAGCAGGACGCUAAGUCUGGAGCUCCGCUUUUUAUUUAAUUUUUAGAGCUCUUAUCUCAAGGCUAAGCAACUUGCUUUGCCUCACCAGAGAUUUUAUACCAACUAUAUUUUUCUCAAGACUUUCCUCCUCCGUCAUCAAUUACUGACUUAUCUCGACAUUCUUUUGCUCUUUUUGAUCUGCGUCUGCUGAGGAGAGCCAAUAAUAGAGACCCCUUUUAUAGAUCUUAGACCCCAUCUGAUUUCUCCCAUUCUGCAAGAUCUCCCUGGGAUUGUUUGGCGUAUGAAGGGAACAGGCUUUUCAUUGUUUCGCUACCCAUAAGAAGAGCCCUGCUG